GCAACGCCGUGGAUAGGCGUAUGAAGCAAGAGGCCCUUUUUGAUUGCUAUGUGAUUCGUCGUAUUGGCCAUAGAUAACAGUCUGAAAGGGCCUUCGGGUUCAUAUACGGUGCCAUCUCUGCCGCU
rnacentral:precursor_RNA from 15 species